UACGUAGGGUGCAAGCGUUGUCCGGAUUUAUUGGGCGUAAAGAGCGUGUAGGCGGCCAGGUAGGUCCGUUGUGAAAACUCGAGGCUCAACCUCGAGACGUCGAUGGAAACCAUCUGGCUAGAGUCCGGAAGAGGAGUGUGGAAUUCCUGGUGUAGCGGUGAAAUGCGCAGAUAUCAGGAAGAACACCUAUGGCGAAGGCAGCACUGUGGGACGGUACUGACGCUGAGACGCGAAAGCGUGGGGAGCGAACAGG
rnacentral:rRNA from 1 species